rnacentral:rRNA from 1 species
GAUGAACGCUGGCGGCGUGCCUAAUACAUGCAAGUCGAGCGAACAGACGAGGAGCUUGCUCCUCUGAAGUUAGCGGCGGACGGGUGAGUAACACGUGGAUAACCUACCUAUAAGACUGGGAUAACUUCGGGAAACCGGAGCUAAUACCGGAUAAUAUAUUGAACCGCAUGGUUCAAUAGUGAAAGACGGUUUUGCUGUCACUUAUAGAUGGAUCCGCGCCGCAUUAGCUAGUUGGUAAGGUAACGGCUUACCAAGGCAACGAUGCGUAGCCGACCUGAGAGGGUGAUCAGCCACACUGGAACUGAGACACGGUCCAGACUCCUACGGGAGGCAGCAGUAGGGAAUCUUCCGCAAUGGGCGAAAGCCUGACGGAGCAACGCCGCGUGAGUGAUGAAGGUCUUCGGAUCGUAAAACUCUGUUAUUAGGGAAGAACAAAUGUGUAAGUAACUAUGCACGUCUUGACGGUACCUAAUCAGAAAGCCACGGCUAACUACGUG